rnacentral:rRNA from 1 species
GACGAACGCUGGCGGCGUGCCUAAUACAUGCAAGUUGAGCGAUGAAGAUUGGUGCUUGCACCAAUUUGAAGAGCAGCGAACGGGUGAGUAACGCGUGGGGAAUCUGCCUUUGAGCGGGGGACAACAUUUGGAAACGAAUGCUAAUACCGCAUAACAACUUUAAACAUAAGUUUUAAGUUUGAAAGAUGCAAUUGCAUCACUCAAAGAUGAUCCCGCGUUGUAUUAGCUAGUUGGUGAGGUAAAGGCUCACCAAGGCGAUGAUACAUAGCCGACCUGAGAGGGUGAUCGGCCACAUUGGGACUGAGACACGGCCCAAACUCCUACGGGAGGCAGCAGUAGGGAAUCUUCGGCAAUGGACGAAAGUCUGACCGAGCAACGCCGCGUGAGUGAAGAAGGUUUUCGGAUCGUAAAACUCGGUUGGUAGCGAAGAACGUUGGUGAGAGUGGAAAGCUCAUCAAGUGACGGUAACUACCCAGAAAGGGACGGCUAACUACGUG